rnacentral:rRNA from 1 species
CGCAUGGAGCAGUCUGACGGAGCGACGCCGCGUGAGCGAAGAAGGUCUUCGGAUCGUAAAGCUCUGUUGUCAGGGAAGAACAAGUACCGGAGUAACUACCGGUACCUUGACGGUACCUGACCUAGAAAGCCACGGCUAACUACGUGCCAGCAGCCGCGGUAAAAG